GACUACAUACACGACAGCCUGAGAACACCUGAGCUUGGAAGCUAAGCAAGUUUGGACCUGCUUAGUACUUUAGUGGAAGACCGCCUGGGGAUAACGGGUCUUUAAGCU
rnacentral:rRNA from 1 species